GACGAACGCUGGCGGCGUGCCUAAUACAUGCAAGUUGAGCGCUGAAGGUUGGUUCUUGUGCCGACUGGAUGAGCAGCGCACGGGUGAGUAACGCGUGGGGAAUCUGCCUUUGAGCGGGGGACAACAUUUGGAAACGAAUGCUAAUACCGCAUAAAAACUUUAAACACAAGUUUUAAGUUUGAAAGAUGCAAUUGCAUCACUCAAAGAUGAUCCCGCGUUGUAUUAGCUAGUUGGUGAGGUAAAGGCUCACCAAGGCGAUGAUACAUAGCCGACCUGAGAGGGUGAUCGGCCACAUUGGGACUGAGACACGGCCCAAACGCCUACGGGAGGCAGCAGUAGGGAAUCGUCGGCAAGGGACGAAAGUCUGACCGAGAAACGCCGCGGGAGGGAAGAAGGAUGUCGGAUCGUAAAAGUCGGUUGGUAGAGAAGAACGUUGGUGAGAGUGGAAAGCUCAUCAAGUGACGGUAACUACCCAGGGAGGGACGGCUAACUACGUG
rnacentral:rRNA from 1 species